CGUCAUUUAGCAACUUUUAGCAACACAUUGACCUUCCUUUAGCAACUUUCUCUGAAAAUUAGUUGGCAACACUGAUUUCAAGCGUUAGCUGCCUGUGACGCAGCAAACAAUGGAUGACCCUGCAUGAACAGAUGCGAAAAUAAUCUGUCAUCUGAAUCAUCAAACCUGUGCCUGAGACGAUGAUAAAUGGACUUUGGAGCAUGAGAAGAUGGAUUAUUGUUCGUCUGAGUAUCGAUACGGCUGAACAAUGUGACGAAGAUCCGGUGCUGAUUAGGCCUAUUCCUGAUUGCUUCCAUGUCUUCCAUGGUCCUACAGCUGCUCCCACACUUGCAGAAAUUAGAUGGUUUUACCCUUCAAGCAGGUGUAUUCAUCACUCCAUCUGAUGUGCAGCAGUCUCUACAUUUGCCAGAGAACACAACUUAUAAUUCUUAUGUAAACAGUAAAGGUCAAUCUCUAAGCAACCAGCGGUAGAUGUUGAGCAGCCCAACUUUGUCUCUGGCCUUGCAGUGCUGUUUGUAUUAUUGUAUGAUUUCAACCUCCAGUAUCAGGAAGAGGUGGCAUGCACCCUUGCGAUUGAGGUUAGACAUUAGCAUAUUUGCCAUUGAUAUAUAUGAUAGUGAAUUGUCACUAACUUGUCUUCACAGUAUUUGUAAAGUACUUAAGUAUUUUUUCACAAACCUUUUAUAAAGUUGAUUAUAGAGCUGAUUGAUAUAUUGCCUAUUUAACAUUAUCAUGUAAUCACAUCGCAAGUGUUGCAAUUCUCUGUGCUGUCUAAUAUAUAUAUAUAUAUAUAUAUAAAACUAAAGCUGGCAUU